AUACGUAGGGGGCGAGCGUUGUCCGGAAUGAUUGGGCGUAAAGGGCGCGUAGGCGGCCCGGUAAGUCUGGAGUGAAAGUCCUGCUUUUAAGGUGGGAAUUGCUUUGGAUACUGUCGGGCUUGAGUGCAGGAGAGGUAAGUGGAAUUCCCAGUGUAGCGGUGAAAUGCGUAGAGAUUGGGAGGAACACCAGUGGCGAAGGCGACUUACUGGACUGUAACUGACGCUGAGGCGCGAAAGUGUGGGGAGCAAACAGGAUUAGAUACCCUGGUAGUCCACGCUGUAAACGAUGAAUACUAGGUGUGGGAGGACUGACCCCUUCCGUGCCGCAGUUAACACAAUAAGUAUUCCACCUGGGGAGUACGAUCGCAAGAUUGAAACUCAAAUGAAUUGGCGGGG
rnacentral:rRNA from 1 species